rnacentral:ncRNA from 2 species
AACUCUGAAAAGCGAACAGCACCGAAGGAGAAAACAUUCAAAUGUGAAGCUCUCAGGUAAAUAAACAGAGGU